GACGAACGCUGGCGGCGUGCUUAACACAUGCCAGUCGAACGGAAAGGCCCUGCUUUUGUGGGGUGCUCGAGUGGCGAACGGGUGAGUAACACGUGAGUAACCUGCCCUUGACUUUGGGAUAACUUCAGGAAACUGGGGCUAAUACCGGAUAGGAGCUCCUGCUGCAUGGUGGGGGUUGGAAAGUUUAGGCGGUUGGGGAUGGACUCGCGGCUUAUCAGCUUGUUGGUGGGGUAGUGGCUUACCAAGGCUUUGAAGGGUAGCCGGCCCGAGAGGGUGAACGGCGACCUUGGGACUGAGAUACGGACCAGACGGCUACGGGAGGCAGCAGUGGGGAAUAUUGCCCAAUGGGAGGAAGCCUGAUGCAGCAACGUCGCGUGCGGGAUGACGGCCUUCGGGUUGUAAACCGCUUUCGCCUGUGACGAAGCGUGAGUGACGGUAAUGGGUAAAGAAGCACCGGCUAACUACGUG
rnacentral:rRNA from 1 species